UAAAGCUUGGGUCUGGUUACC
rnacentral:siRNA from 1 species